rnacentral:rRNA from 1 species
GAUGAACGCUGGCGGCGUGCCUAAUACAUGCAAGUCGAGCGAACGGACGAGAAGCUUGCUUCUCUGAUGUUAGCGGCGGACGGGUGAGUAACACGUGGAUAACCUACCUAUAAGACUGGGAUAACUUCGGGAAACCGGAGCUAAUACCGGAUAAUAUUUUGAACCGCAUGGUUCAAAAGUGAAAGACGGUCUUGCUGUCACUUAUAGAUGGAUCCGCGCUGCAUUAGCUAGUUGGUAAGGUAACGGCUUACCAAGGCAACGAUGCAUAGCCGACCUGAGAGGGUGAUCGGCCACACUGGAACUGAGACACGGUCCAGACUCCUACGGGAGGCAGCAGUAGGGAAUCUUCCGCAAUGGGCGAAAGCCUGACGGAGCAACGCCGCGUGAGUGAUGAAGGUCUUCGGAUCGUAAAACUCUGUUAUUAGGGAAGAACAUAUGUGUAAGUAACUGUGCACAUCUUGACGGUACCUAAUCAGAAAGCCACGGCUAACUACGUGCCAGCAGCCGCGGUAAUACGUAGGUGGCAAGCGUUAUCCGGAAUUAUUGGGCGUAAAGCGCGCGUAGGCGGUUUUUUAAGUCUGAUGUGAAAGCCCACGGCUCAACCGUGGAGGGUCAUUGGAAACUGGAAAACUUGAGUGCAGAAGAGGAAAGUGGAAUUCCAUGUGUAGCGGUGAAAUGCGCAGAGAUAUGGAGGAACACCAGUGGCGAAGGCGACUUUCUGGUCUGUAACUGACGCUGAUGUGCGAAAGCGUGGGGAUCAAACAGGAUUAGAUACCCUGGUAGUCCACGCCGUAAACGAUGAGUGCUAAGUGUUAGGGGGUUUCCGCCCCUUAGUGCUGCAGCUAACGCAUUAAGCACUCCGCCUGGGGAGUACGACCGCAAGGUUGAAACUCAAAGGAAUUGACGGGGACCCGCACAAGCGGUGGAGCAUGUGGUUUAAUUCGAAGCAACGCGAAGAACCUUACCAAAUCUUGACAUCCUUUGACAACUCUAGAGAUAGAGCCUUCCCCUUCGGGGGACAAAGUGACAGGUGGUGCAUGGUUGUCGUCAGCUCGUGUCGUGAGAUGUUGGGUUAAGUCCCGCAACGAGCGCAACCCUUAAGCUUAGUUGCCAUCAUUAAGUUGGGCACUCCAAGUUGACUGCCGGUGACAAACCGGAGGAAGGUGGGGAUGACGUCAAAUCAUCAUGCCCCUUAUGAUUUGGGCUACACACGUGCUACAAUGGACAAUACAAAGGGCAGCGAAACCGCGAGGUCAAGCAAAUCCCAUAAAGUUGUUCUCAGUUCGGAUUGUAGUCUGCAACUCGACUACAUGAAGCUGGAAUCGCUAGUAAUCGUAGAUCAGCAUGCUACGGUGAAUACGUUCCCGGGUCU